GAAAGAGGCAUGAGUCCACAUAUCCAUAAAGGCAAAUAUCCAAAUAUUGGCUGUCUGGACCUACAGGAAUACUAAAGAAGGCACUGCAGAGACCCACAACUGAGAAAUACUGGCUGUGUGGAAGCCAUUACCUACUGUUGGACCGGGUGUCUCAGAUUCUUCAAGAGCAUGGUCAUAAUGUGACUAUGCUUCAUCAGAGUGGAAAGUUUUUGAUCCCAGGUAUCUUUUUUAAAAACUAAUUUUUAUAUUCUUUUACUCUAAGCAAAAAGUGAUAAUAUAUUUUUUAUACAGCUGCAUAGUAAAAACUUCUUUGAAUCUAGUCUUAUUUCGGGAUGAAUAAAUGUGUGUGUGGAUGUGUGUUCAUGUUAAGUAUUGGAAUUCUUAUUGGGUCUGUAGACUAAGACUUCACAUAACAUACUUCUGUAUUUUACCACUUACCUGGGUGUCAUUCUAUUCUAGACAACUCUCCACACAUUAUUAUUAAUUAUUUUGAGGAAUACUACACAAUGGUAUGGCUUAAAGUUUUUUUGAACAGAAAUGUUUAGCCAUAUUUCAGGCUUUUAUUAUGUAAGUAUAGAAGUUCUUCUUAUCCCACAGGUUACUUUCUAUUCUUGAGAGACUUGAAAUUUAUGAAAGAUUUCCCAGGGAGCCUCUUAAUUAUUAACUAAGAUGAGAAUAUAUGAUUAACACGACCUCAUAUGCUUGAAAAAUUUGUAGCUAUGCAUAAGUUGUACAUAAUGAUGUCAGAAGUUUUUAAUUGAUUCAUUUCCUCCAAAGAAUUGUAACUAAAAUGAAACUCAUAAAUUCCUGUUGACAGACAAGGAGACGGAGGUCCAGGGAACUGAAAA
rnacentral:lncRNA from 1 species